CCUCUAUUCCAUCUCUCUCGAUUAACUAGGUCAAGACCAAGCAUGCCUGAUCGAUCUUUUUUUUUUUUUUUGAAAAUCUAGUUUGGUCUCUCAUUCUCUAGAGCAUUCCAAAUCCUUGCGGGAUCUGUAUUUCUCACCCUCCCCACUUGAAUUAGAAAAUAGGGUUCCUGAACUUCUAUAAAUUAGGCCGCGCCGACCAUCUUCCUCCCCUCUCCUCCUCUCUCUCGAUCUCGAUUAGGUCAAGACUAAGCAUGCCUGUGGUGGAGCCUUACACGGGAAUCCAUGUGCUGCAGUCGGCCGCAGUUUAUGCCCCGCGGCCGGUCGAGAGGGAGAGGGAAGAAGAGUUUGUGAUCUCAGUCCAGUUCUACAAGCCAUGCUAUAUCCGACGUUCGCUGUCCGAUCCACCCCAUCUUGAAGAGAACUUCAUAACACAUGUGCUUGUGUUGUUCCCUUUCUCCUUGGUCAAGCAAAAACGUCAUGAGUCAUUUUAUAGAGGGGCGAUGAAGCAGUAUCUUUCGGAGAUAGGUGUCUCUGAAACUCUACAUACGUACAGAGAUUCUCGAUAAGUUGUUCCCGGUGAUUGACGCUGCCGAGACCUACGAGGUGCCUAUUCUUUUGAUCAUAUUCGAGAGUACUGACCGGAGGGAUAGUGAUGAGAUCUUGAGUUUCACUCCUACAGCUGAAUCUGCAAUCGAGGGUUUGGAGAAAGUGAGACUUGAUGCUGCCAUUAUUGGACAAUCACCGAUGUGUGUUAUAUGUUGGAAGGAUUUUGCACCCGAAGAUGUUGGUCAGCUGAUGGUUACUCGCAUGCCCUGCUCUCACUGUUAUCAUGGAGAUUGCAUUGUCCGCUGGCUGAGCGUUAAUCAUCUAUGUCCCAUGUGCCGAUACCCGAUGCCAGUGGAGACCCAGCCAUUAUUAUCAUCGAAUCCCCUGAGUCCUCCUCCUAAUUGAGGAGGGGAGGGGAGGUUGCCUAUAUGUUAUGCCGCUGCCGCUGCCUGUUUGUCAAGAGGCCCAAAGGAACAGCCACAUAUACUGUCCAACAUGGCAUCAGCUAAAGCAUCACCAACCAUGUUGCACGCUUCCUGUAAAUGUGGCUGAGCUCAACCUUUUCCCUAGAACAGUCCUGCAGAUGUUUGCACCUGUUAAACAUGGCUCCCAAAGGAUGAAGGUAAAGUGACAGUACUUACUCUCUGGAGGCACAUCAUGAUAUGCUGAGUGAAAAACUUUGUUUACCCCUGUAUAUUACAUGUUCUCUAAACAAGAACAUCACUCACUUUACGUUUACAUGUAUAUCACUUGGGGUUUGGUCCAAGUGGUUUUGGAUUCGAAUGAGACCAAAUAUCAUCCUCCUUUAGCAUAUUGCAAGAAAUUGAGUGAAGAUGUGUUACUCCAUGAUCCAUAUUGUACAUUA